UGCCUGUUGACGCCUGCGUGGC
rnacentral:misc_RNA from 1 species